rnacentral:rRNA from 1 species
AGCGAAAGCUGGCGGCAGGCUUAACACAUGCAAGUCGAGCGGGCAUAGCAAUAUGUCAGCGGCAGACGGGUGAGUAACGCGUGGGAACGUACCUUUUGGUUCGGAACAACUGAGGGAAACUUCAGCUAAUACCGGAUAAGCCCUUACGGGGAAAGAUUUAUCGCCGAAAGAUCGGCCCGCGUCUGAUUAGCUAGUUGGUGAGGUAAUGGCUCACCAAGGCGACGAUCAGUAGCUGGUCUGAGAGGAUGAUCAGCCACAUUGGGACUGAGACACGGCCCAAACUCCUACGGGAGGCAGCAGUGGGGAAUAUUGCACAAUGGGCGCAAGCCUGAUCCAGCCAUGCCGCGUGAAGGAUGAAGGCCCUAGGGUUGUAAAGCUCUAUUGUGAGGGAAGAUAAUGACGGUACCGCAAGAAUAAGCCCCGGCUAACUUCGUGCCAGCCGCCGCGGUAA